GAUGAAGAACGUAGCGAAAUGCGAUAAGUAAUGUGAAUUGCAGAAUUCAGUGAAUCAUCGAAUCUUUGAACGCACAUUGCGCCCGCCAGUAUUCUGGCGGGCAUGCCUGUCUGAGCGUCAUUUCAACCCUCAUGCCCCUAGGGCGUGGUGUUGGGGAUCGGCCAAAGCCCGCGAGGGACGGCCGGCCCCUAAAUCUAGUGGCGGACCCGUCGUGGCCUCCUCUGCGAAGUAGUGAUAUUCCGCAUCGGAGAGCGACGAGCCCCUGCCGUUAAACCCCCAACUUUCCAAGGUUGACCUCAGAUCAGGUAGGAAUACCCGCUGAACUUAAGCAUAUCAAUAAGGGAGGA
rnacentral:misc_RNA from 1 species